AAAAAAAGAAAGAAAAAAAAGAAAAAGAAAAAAAGAAAACUUGGAAGAAAGAGGCAGACUUUCCCCUGUCCUGAUGGGACACUCUUGAAGAUCCCUGGAUUUGAACCACAUCAUCAUGGAGGCCAAACGUGAAGGAAGCUCAUUUGUUGUCCAUGACAGUCUGAGAAUCGGACCUCGUUCCCUUGGAAGUCAACGGUCCUCAGAGAGAAGGCAUUUCAACACCUCUCUAGGGUUGGAAUUUGGAAAGACUCCUAGAGAAUCCUGACCAAGAGCAGCAGUCACACGUGUGUGGCCCCAGGGACAGAGGGACCCUUGUCUCCAUCUGAUACAGUCACCAGGUCCUGUCUAGUCUUCCUUUCUAACAGCUGUCCCUCGUUACUAUUCAUUCUUACUACUGCUCCGCUAGUCUGAGCCUUUAGCGACUCAGCCAGAGUCAAUGUAAAAGCUUCUUGAUUGACAUCCUGGCCUCUAAUCUCUCCCUCUCUGAACCAUCUGGCCCAUCCCUAAGAAUCUUAACUAACAUAGGGCAAAUGGGGUUUGUCCCCUGCUAUCGACGUGCAUAGGAGCAGUGAGCUUCCUUUUUAGGGUAGCUGCCAUCUUUACACCUCAUCUUGUAGUCCUUUGUUGCUACUUGCUGCUGUGAGGCGCCAUUGCCCCUGGGCCACAUGCCCCUCCCUCCAGUCCCAAUCCUGAGGAAAUGACUUUCUAGGGGAUGAGUUGCUCCCACUCCAGGCUUUCCUGGCAUCUGUGGUCAGACUGUCCUUUCCAACCCACUCCCUCCCACCUCUAUGCCUCUGCCCCAGCUGUUUUUCCUUUAGGGGAAUGCUAAGUAGGAACCAGACUAUGGAGGGCUUUAAUUCUAGGCAGAAUAACCUCUAUAUUAUUUUAGAGGCAAUAGAGAGCCAGAGAAGAUUCUUGAGCAGAGGAAUAAAAAACUCUGCUUGUUUCAUGCACCUGAACUCAGCUACAUCUUGUCUUUCUCAGGGAAGGAUUCUGUAAGUUUGAGUUUCUCAGUUGUAAAACUGAAAGAGAAGGGUUAACGCUGGAGAACCCAUCGAUAAAAUGCUGUUGGAAAUAGCUGUCUCAGAAGCAAGGGAACUGCCUAGCAUAUUAAAGCUAAAAAUCAAACCAGCAGUAAUAAUUACUCACAUAAAAAUGUUCAUUUUAUUUCCCCCUCAGCGUCUGCCUCUUACUGUUUCCCAGCUCUUUGGCCAGAAGGAAGAAAUGUUCAGUGAUGUGUGAUCUCCAGGAAGUGGGUGCUCCUUGCACCAACACAGGGUUAUAUCAGCGAGGGAUAAUGCGAUGCUGGUCCAGGCUGAACUGAACCCUCCUCACCUAGUCUAGCUCAGUUCGGGAAUACGUUCCUCUGCUGAAUCCCUCUCCUUUUCAGAUCCAAUGUGGAUUCCAGAGGGCUAAUUGUCCCAAGUCAACAGAGGCUAUCCCUCCUGCUUGAAGCGCAUUCCCUCCCCACCUGUACCCAUUAGAAUCCUCAGUUUCCUUCAAAGCCCAGCUCAGCGGCCACCUCCUACAGAAGACUUCUGAUGACACUCUGAGUCAUCAAAGUCCAGUGGCAGGACAAAGUUGAGACAAAAGGCGAUGGACUGGGACGCAGGGCAUCACCUGAGCGUCUUCAGCAUCUGAUCAAGCUCUAAACACUCCACAGCUCCUGCUUCAGCCACCAUCAUGGUCACUGAACAAAUUGUUCUCAUCUGCCCAUUCCAUCUUUGGGUAGACAUCCCCCUAACUUACCAAUGGGUUUCAGACCCCUCAGUUACCUUCACCUUGGUUUAGCCUGUCUGCCAGGACAGUUUUGUGGGGUGUGGGUGUUGUGUAUGCUAUAGCUUCUUGGAGCCCCAGGCGAGAGUUUGGUGAAAGUGGACACCAAAGGUAGAUGAAUAGCCAUGGAAAGGGCCCUGCAGCCCUCACACCAGAGGUGCUGGUCCUCCCUGAAAACCCACUGAA